rnacentral:misc_RNA from 1 species
CUUGCUUCGGUUAGUUUGACCAGUUGAAAACAACAAAAUAAGAUACUAGACUUUCUGGUUUGCUUGAAAACGCCAUCCCAACUAACGAAUUUGUAACGCGGGAAAACGAACCCAGGUGGCCGCGAAGUGCUGCUCAUCAUCACGGCGGCGAGUGAAAUUUGUAGAGAAAAAUGAAACUAUGGAGUUUGAGGCAAGGAUUAGAAAUGGAUUUGAGCUUUCAUCUGAAUUUCCUGAAUCUGAAUUCCAAAGAGGAGCAGUGGGAGAAGGUUACUCUGCAAAAAUGUCGGCUAAUAUGGUAACUAGCAGUCGCUGUUGCAGGAGCCUGCUACUCUUGG